rnacentral:rRNA from 1 species
UACGGAGGGUGCAAGCGUUGUCCGGAUUUAUUGGGUUUAAAGGGUGCGUAGGCGGCUUGAUAAGUCCGUGGUGAAAGCCAACAGCUCAACUGUUGAACUGCCAUGGAUACUGUCAGGCUUGAGUACAGACGAGGUAGGCGGAAUGGAUCGUGUAGCGGUGAAAUGCAUAGAUACGAUCCAGAACUCCGAUUGCGAAGGCAGCUUACUAGGCUGUAACUGACGCUGAGGCACGAAAGCGUGGGGAGCGAAACAGG